AGACAGAGGGUGCAAACGUUGUUCGGAAUGACUGGGCGUAAAGCGCGUGUAGGCGGCUCGGCAAGUCGGGUGUGAAAGCCCUGGGCUCAACCCAGGAAGUGCACUCGAAACUGCCGGGCUGGAGUCCCGGAGAGGAAGGCGGAAUUCUCGGUGUAGAGGUGAAAUUCGUAGAUAUCGAGAGGAACACCGGUGGCGAAGGCGGCCUUCUGGACGGCGACUGACGCUGAGACGCGAAAGCGUGGGGAGC
rnacentral:rRNA from 1 species